CCUACGGGAGGCAGCAGUGGGGAAUAUUGCACAAUGGGGGAAACCCUGAUGCAGCCAUGCCGCGUGUGUGAAGAAGGCCUUCGGGUUGUAAAGCACUUUCGACGGGGACGAUGAUGACGGUACCCGUAGAAGAAGCCCCGGCUAACUUCGUGCCAGCAGCCGCGGUAAUACGAAGGGGGCUAGCGUUGUUCGGAAUUACUGGGCGUAAAGCGCGCGUAGGCGGAUAGAUAAGUCAGAGGUGAAAUCCCGGGGCUCAACCCCGGAAUUGCCUUUGAUACUGUUUAUCUUGAGUGCAGAAGAGGUAAGUGGAAUUCCGAGUGUAGAGGUGAAAUUCGUAGAUAUUCGGAGGAACACCAGUGGCGAAGGCGGCUUACUGGUCUGCAACUGACGCUGAGGCGCGAAAGCGUGGGGAGCAAACAGGAUUAGAUACCCGUGUAGUC
rnacentral:rRNA from 1 species